GUGGCUUUUGGGCUGUCGCAGAUGGAUGAGCCUGCGUUGGAUUAGCUAGUUGGUGGGGUAAGGGCCUACCAAGGCUACGAUCCAUAGCUGAUUUGAGAGGAUGAUCAGCCACAUUGGGACUGAGACACGGCCCAAACUCCUACGGGAGGCAGCAGUGAGGAAUAUUGGACAAUGGGGGCAACCCUGAUCCAGCAAUGCCAUGUGUGUGAAGAAGGCCUUAGGGUUGUAAAGCACUUUAGUUGGGGAAGAAAGCUUUGAGGUUAAUAGCCUUGAGGAAAAGGACGUUACCCAAAGAAUAAGCACCGGCUAACUCCGUGCCAGCAGCCGCGGUAAUACGGGGGGUGCAAGCGUUAAUCGGAAUUACUGGGCGUAAAGGGUCUGUAGGUGGUUUGUUAAGUCAGAUGUGAAAGCCUAGGGCUCAACCUUGGAACUGCAUUUGAUACUGGUAAACUAGAGUACGGUAGAGGAAUGGGGAAUUUCUGGUGUAGCGGUGAAAUGCGUAGAGAUCAGAAGGAACACCAAUGGCGAAGGCAACAUUCUGGACCGAUACUGACACUGAGGGACGAAAGCGUGGGGAUCAAACAGGAUUAGAUACCCUGGUAGUCCACGCUGUAAACGAUGAGUACUAGCUGUUGGAGUCGGUGUAAAGGCUCUAGUGGCGCAGCUAACGCGAUAAGUACUCCGCCUGGGGACUACGGCCGCAAGGCUAAAACUCAAAGGAAUUGACGGGGACCCGCACAAGCGGUGGAGCAUGUAGUUUAAUUCGAUGCAACGCGAAGAACCUUACCUGGUCUUGACAUCCUGCGAUCUUUCUAGAGAUAGAUUGGUGCCUUCGGGAACGCAGUGACAGGUGCUGCACGGCUGUCGUCAGCUCGUGUUGUGAAAUGUUGGGUUAAGUCCCGCAACGAGCGCAACCCCUAUUGAUAGUUACCAUCAUUAAGUUGGG
rnacentral:rRNA from 1 species